AGUAGUGUGGCCCAGUGGAAAGAGCACAGCCUGAGAGUCAGGAGACCUGGGUUCUAAUCCCGGCUCUACCA
rnacentral:tRNA from 1 species